AGUGAACGCUGGCGGUAGGCCUAACACAUGCAAGUCGAACGGCAGCACAGUAAGAGCUUGCUCUUACGGGUGGCGAGUGGCGGACGGGUGAGGAAUACAUCGGAAUCUACUUUUUCGUGGGGGAUAACGUAGGGAAACUUACGCUAAUACCGCAUACGACCUACGGGUGAAAGCAUGGGAUCUUCGGACCUUGCGCGAUUGAAUGAGCCGAUGUCGGAUUAGCUAGUUGGCGGGGUAAAGGCCCACCAAGGCGACGAUCCGUAGCUGGUCUGAGAGGAUGAUCAGCCACACUGGAACUGAGACACGGUCCAGACUCCUACGGGAGGCAGCAGUGGGGAAUAUUGGACAAAGGGCGCAAGCCUGAUCCAGCCGUACCGCGUGGGUGAAGAAGGCCUUCGGGUUGUAAAGCCCUUUUGUUGGUAAAGAAAAGCAGCAGGUUAAUACCCCGCUGUUCUGACGGUACCCAAAGAAUAAGCACCGGCUAACUUCGUG
rnacentral:rRNA from 1 species